GCAUCCAUGGCGGAAUAGGUAGACGCAAGGGACUUAAAAUCCCUCGAACGCGAGUUCGUCCCGGUUCGAUUCCGGGUGGAUGCACCA
rnacentral:tRNA from 1 species